AAAAUGAAAAGGAUUAAAUGAUAUUUAAAUACGCUCCUUUGACGAAAAUAAAAAAAAUAAAAAUGCGUAAAGCUACCCUAUAAAUAGGGAAAUCCGAAUGGAGAAAGUGAGGUGUCAAUUACAUUUUCCGUGCUCUUUCUUCUUCGUCAGUUUCCCGCCCAAGUUUAGUCCAUAGGGGAACCCUCUGGCCUCAUACAUAGAGAUUCUUUUUCAAUUUGAAUUCCUUAAGUAUAUCUUUGAUUUCCUUUUUCAUGCAUUUUCUCUCCAUUUCUUCUCUGGCUGUGAUCGUAAUCGCUCCGGAAAAUUUACCGUCUCCAUCAAUCGCGCCAAAUUCCGUCCCUCGAUUAAUUUUGGUGUACGUUCGCUUUCCGAUUCCGAAAUCCUAAUUUCUUUAGAUUUAGUGUGCAAUCGACGUUCUCGAUCACCUAAUGCCUUCAUUGCUGCCAGGAGUUUAGAGUUUCGGUCCUUUGCUUUACCACGGAGGGCUCUGCAGCGGAAAACAUCGAAGGUCCUGAGUCGUGGAAGGUCGCAGAGUUGGAUGAGGCCGUGAGACAACGGAAUUCCAUAUUAGAGGUAUUAAAUAUUCUGCCGACGGUGCUUCUCUCUCAGAUCAUUCGGUUCCUGCUGAAGUGUUUGAAGAUUCUAUCAGUCAGGUUGAUCGGUUCCUAGCGUAGCCUUUCGGAAUCCUUAAGAGUUUAGAUUUCGGUCCUUUGAUUUACCAUGGAGGGCUCUGCAGUGGAGGAUAUUGAAGGUCCUGAGUCAUGGAAGGUGGCAGAGGAUGAGGCCGUGAGACAAUGGAAUUUCAUAUGAGAGGCAUUAUAUAUUCUUUCGACGGUGCUUCUCUCUCAGAUUGUUCGAUUCCUGCUGAAAUGUUUGAAGAUUCUAUCAGUCAGGUUGAUCGGUUCCUAGCGAAGCCUUUCAGAAUCCUCAAAUGAUCGUGAAUGUCAAUUAGAUUGUAAACUGCGCCACCAUUCCCUUUUGUGCCUAUGACGUCGAAAGACUUAUAGUAGCAUCUGUCGUUGGGCAUGUCUACUACGAAGGUCCAUGGUUUCUUAUGACACACAUAUUUGCUUGAGAGCAUCGUUAUGUAUGAGUUCCUAAAUAUGUAUUCCUCGCCACUACUUGAUAAUAUGUAUUUUCCAUCACUAUUUAAGUUUAUGAGAUGCUUUGCACAUUCAAGCGUCAACAUCCCAAGGUACGAAUUCCUUUUACCACUCGUUCGGAGUUUAUUGCAUGGGUAAUGUGUCAUUGGUUUGUGUAUACAUACCUUCCUUUUCUUAUGAUUUAAAAGAUUAGAUUGCAAAAUAAAAAAAUUAGCGUAAAUUAGGCCUUUCCACCCUAUUUUGUAGAAAGGGUUAUUUCUAAGUGCAUUCAUCAUGAGCCAAUAGAACUGUCUUAGGAAAUUAUAUUUAAAGGUAAAACUUAAAAGUGGUAUCUUCAUUUUA